rnacentral:lncRNA from 1 species
UUCCACGUGGCUGGGGAGGCCUCACAAUCAUAUCAGAAGAAUUAUAUGCUGGAUAUACAAGAGACUCAUGACCCAAACUGGGACAACAGGAAUGGCUUCCUGGAAGAAGAGACAUCUGAGCCCAGACCUGGAAGAAUAAGAGCCGGGUCUCCUUUCUGAAAAGUCUCACUUCAAGCCAUGGUGUAUAAAGACACAAAGCUGACUUACUGCUGGGUACGUGUGUCCAACAG